UACGUAGGGUGCGAGCGUUAAUCGGAAUUACUGGGCGUAAAGCGCGCGUAGGUGGCCUCAUAAGUCCGCUGUGAAAGUCAAAGGCUCAACCUUUGAAAGCCGGUGGAUACUGUGAGGCUAGAGUACGGAAGAGGCGAGUGGAAUUCCUGGUGUAGCGGUGGAAUGCGCAGAUAUCAGGAGGAACACCAAUAGCGAAGGCAGCUCGCUGGGACGUUACUGACACUGAGGCGCGAAAGCGUGGGGAGCGAACAGG
rnacentral:rRNA from 1 species